ACUACGGAAGGGAGACCCACGGAAGCAGGGGAGGGGGGAGAGCAGUAGUAGCCGGAGGAAUAAGCUCGCGGCAGGUAAUAUAUGUAGUAGAGAAAGAGUAUCAGCUUUGGAAUCAGGAAGAAUUGGAUUUCAGUCUCAACUCUCCCUGUGUUAUUUUGGAUAAUUACUUAAGGUCCUGUGAGCGCACAGUGAGAAGCCAGGAGAGCACUCUCACCAGAGCCUGACGGUGCUGCCACCCAGUUCUCAGACUUCUAGCUUCUGGAACAGCGAGGAAAUACAUUUCUGCUGUGUGAGCACCCCGGCGACAAGAUUCUGUUACGGCAGCCCAAGCUAACUCACACAGAUUCUGGUAUCAGGAAGUGGGUGCUGCUCUAUCAAAUACCUAAAUAUGGGAGAAGUCUGAAAGAUCUCUUCCUCCAGUUUUGUGGAAGGAGUAUGACUGGAGAGCUGAGCUGGGUAUGACUGGAGAAGGGCUCUGCUGAAGACCAGAGAUCUCCGUGCCAUCUCCAUGCACUGUGGGAGGAAACUUCUGGAAGGACAGGGAAGGGACCGGGCAGCUGAGGUAGGGAGAGAAACUUGGAAGUGCACAAGAGUUCAAAUAGGAGUUUUAGCAAGUUUUUCUGUGUGAUAAGGAAUAUCAACAGUGCUUUUGCAAUUAAAUAAGCUUUUCUGACAUCUGAGAAAAUGAUCUCAAGGUAAAGCAAGAAUAAAACGGUCUGGGCGUUUGAGUUACAACACCUUUUUACUUCUCUUUCUUAUUAUUCCCUUCUGUUAUCGCUGAGUUUUCAAAUGCAGUCUUGUUUCAGAUAUCUUGCUUAUAUUUUAGGAAACUAAGGGAGAGUUUUGUGGCCAUCUUUGGGCUGAAUAAUUACACCAAAUCGAACGCAGUUUCAGAAGUAGGGGGAC